rnacentral:rRNA from 1 species
AGUGAACGCUGGCGGUAGGCCUAACACAUGCAAGUCGAACGGCAGCACAGUAAGAGCUUGCUCUUACGGGUGGCGAGUGGCGGACGGGUGAGGAAUACAUCGGAAUCUACUUUUUCGUGGGGGAUAACGUAGGGAAACUUACGCUAAUACCGCAUACGACCUACGGGUGAAAGCAGGGGAUCUUCGGACCUUGCGCGAUUGAAUGAGCCGAUGUCGGAUUAGCUAGUUGGCGGGGUAAAGGCCCACCAAGGCGACGAUCCGUAGCUGGUCUGAGAGGAUGAUCAGCCACACUGGAACUGAGACACGGUCCAGACUCCUACGGGAGGCAGCAGUAGGGAAUAUUGGACAAUGGGCGCAAGCCUGAUCCAGCCAUACCGCGUGGGUGAAGAAGGCCUUCGGGUUGUAAAGCCCUCUUGUUGGGAAAGAAAAGCAGCAGGUUAAUACCCCGCUGUUCUGACGGUACCCAAAGAAUAAGCACCGGCUAACUUCGUG